CACCGAAGGCUUAAAGUAGGACAACCAUGGAGCCUUCCUGUGGCAAGAGAGACAACAAAGUGCUAUUAUCCUAAGCUUUUCCAGAAGCCUGUUAAAAGCAAGGUCUCCCCACAAGCAACUUCUCUGCCACAUCGCCACCCCGUGCCUUUUGAUCUAGCACAGACCCUUCACCCCUCACCUCGAUGCAGCCGGUAGCUUGGAUCCUUGUGGGCAUGAUCCAUAAUCGGUUUCAAGGUAAUAGCCUGCAGCUGGUGUUUUGAGAAGCCCUACUGCUGAAAACUUAACAAUUUUGUGUAAUAAAAAUGGAGAAGCUCUAAA
rnacentral:lncRNA from 1 species